rnacentral:rRNA from 1 species
ACUGCUGCCUCCCGUAGGAGUAGGGGGAAUCUUCCACAAUGGACGAAAGUCUGAUGGAGCAACGCCGCGUGAGUGAAGAAGGGUUUCGGCUCGUAAAACUCUGUUGUUAAAGAAGAACAUAUCUAAGAGUAACUGUUCAGGUAUNGACGGUAUUUAACCAGAAAGCCACGGCUAACUACGUGCCAGCAGCCGCGGUAAUAC